UACGGAGGGUGCAAGCGUUAUCCGGAUUCACUGGGUUUAAAGGGUGCGUAGGUGGGCAGGUAAGUCAGUGGUGAAAUCUCCGGGCUUAACCCGGAAACUGCCAUUGAUACUAUCUGUCUUGAAUACCGUGGAGGUGAGCGGAAUAUGUCAUGUAGCGGUGAAAUGCUUAGAUAUGACAUAGAACACCCAUUGCGAAGGCAGCUAACUACGCGAUAAUUGACGCUGAUGCACGAAAGCGUGGGGAUCAAACAGG
rnacentral:rRNA from 1 species